AUGGAAGAGGGUGAGGGUUCAGUCGGCCCAGAAUGUGACCCUGUUAAAGCCCAGCGGAGCCCAGGGGAGGACAAUUGGCACCUGCUAGCUGCUUAUCCUCCCCCCCGCUGCCUCCCGGCCCAGACCCCUGCUCCCCUAGUCUCUAUCGUCCCCCCAGACGCCGACCCUCAGCUGUGUGGAGUCCCUGUGCUGCUACCAACACGGGCAGAGCGGCUGCUCCCGCCUGGCCAGCCUCCUGGAGCAGGUGACCGGGGCCGGCGGCAGCCACUGCCACGCUUCCAGCCGCAGCAACAGGUGGGGAGGAUAAUGGCCACAAACCACGAGCGGAACGCCUCUUGGUGUCGGAAACAUCACGUCCGUUGCGCGUACGGUGGUGGGAAGGGUUUGAGAAGGUCGUGAUGCCUGGUUUUAGGGCGGAAGAAGAACAGCGAGCAAGUUGAAGAUGUGUGGAUCAAGCCGUUAUGGACUGCUCUCUUAUUGAUAUGAAAGUCUGGGGCUUAACUAUUUGGAUUAGGACGAGCUUAAUCGCACAUCGACUGUGCUGUGCCGUCAGAAAUGUACCGGACACCUUGUAAGCAGCCUCACAGAGUAGCAUGCACUGCAAUGGAUGUCACUGGCUUUGUGUGUUACACCAUGUAAGCUGUCCUGUGUGUCCGUCCUCAAGCUCACGUGUCUAUGUCCUUUCUAUCUAUGCUAUGAUCCGUUGUCCUGUCCGUUUCUGGUUGAUACUCCCUCAAAUCUAUUUAAUGUUCUCAUUAGCUGGUUUUCGAGGAGAACCGCCUAAUGUGCAAUGCACUUUAACAGAUGUCUCUACAGCGUUUGGUUGCCACAUAAUGCCACAGCUGUACGAGCAUCACCGAAUCUGUGCCAGUACAUCUCUAGUGGAUAUGGAAGUGCUUCAUAAGCAUAAGACCCCGCUUUCCAGCUGCCCCGGGCGCUAAAUGGAAGCGGCCACGUCACAUGUCACUCAAUCGCACAAAGGGGGCUCUCAAUAAGUGCAGAUAAGCGCUCUUAUCUGCUGUAGCUUCACUUUGUGAUGAAGGAGGAUAAAACAUCAAUAACCAACAUUUAUUGCAGCUUCAGUGU
ensembl:lncRNA